AACGCACAUUGCGCCCGCCAGCACUCUGGCGGGCAUGCCUGUUCGAGCGUCAUCUCAACCCUCGACUGCCCCUUGGGGUGUCGGUGUUGGGGGACGGCGUGGCUGGCCCGGGCUUGCCCUAGGCCGAUGCCUCGCCGCCCCCGAAAUGCAGUGGCGACCCCGCCGCGGCCUCCCCUGCGCAGUAGCAAACGCUCGCACCGGAGCCCGGCGAGGCUUUGCCGUAAAACCCCCAACCCAGCAAAGGUUGACCUCGGAUCAGGUAGGAAUACCCGCUGAACUUAA
rnacentral:misc_RNA from 1 species